GCUCAAAUUUGAAAUCUUCAAGGUUUUACCUUGACGAAUUGUAGUUUAAAGAAGUGUUUUCUGUUGGUGUUUUGGUAAAAGUUCUUUGGAAUAGGACAUCAUAGAGGGUGAGAAUCCCGUAUUUGACCAUUACUUCCAGCGUUGUGAUACACUUUCAAAGAGUCGGAUUGUUUGGGAAUGCAGUCCAAAAUGGGUGGUAAAUUUCAUCUAAAGCUAAAUAUUGGCGAGAGACCGAUAGCGAACAAGUACCGUGAGGGAAAGAUGAAAAGGACUUUGAAAAGAGAGUUAAACAGUACGUGAAAUUGUCAAAAGGGAAGCGUUUGACACCAGUGUUGUUUUCUCGAAAAUCAAUUAAAAAAAGUUGGAUUUUGUAUUGUUAAGACCUUAUCAGCUUACUGUACUCUUUUCUUGCUUUUUUUAAUGCACUUUUCAUUUAACAAG
rnacentral:rRNA from 1 species